rnacentral:rRNA from 1 species
UAAACUACGAUUAGAUACCCUAUUAUUUUAAAUGUAAAUUUUUAUACUUGAGUAGUAAUAGAUAUGAUCUUGAAACUCAAAGAAUUUGGCGGUGUUUUAGUCCUUUCAGAGGAACCUGUCCCGUGAUCGAUAGUCCACGUUUUAUCUUACUUAAUUUAGUUACCAGCUUGUAUACCGCCGUCGUCAGAAUGUCUUUUUAGGGAUUAAAUUUUCUGGAUUUUUUAUUAAAAUUGAUGUCAGGUCAAGGUGCAGCUUAUGGUUAAGUGGUGAUGGGUUACAAUAAAAUUAUUUAUACGGAAAAUAUAUGGUAGAAUAUAUAGGAAGGUGGAUUUGAUUGUAAUUGAUUUAAUAAAAUUAAUUUGAUUUUGGCUCUAAAACAUGCACACAUCGCCCGUCGCUCUUA